UCCAGACUCCUACGGGAGGCAGCAGUGGGGAAUAUUGCACAAUGGGGGAAACCCUGAUGCAGCGACGCCGCGUGAGUGAAGAAGUAUUUCGGUAUGUAAAGCUCUAUCAGCAGGGAAGAACAUGACGGUACCUGACUAAGAAGCCCCGGCUAACCACGUGCCAGCAGCCGCGGUAAUACGUAGGGGGCAAGCGUUAUCCGGAUUUACUGGGUGUAAAGGGAGCGUAGACGGCAGUGCAAGCCUGGAGUGAAAGGAUGGGGCCCAACCCCAUGACUGCUCUGGGAACUGUACAGCUAGAGUGCCGGAGGGGUAAGCGGAAUUCCUAGUGUAGCGGUGAAAUGCGUAGAUAUUAGGAGGAACACCAGUGGCGAAGGCGGCUUACUGGACGGUAACUGACGUUGAGGCUCGAAAGCGCGGGGAGCAAACAGGAUUAGAUACCCUUGUA
rnacentral:rRNA from 1 species